GAAGCUGACCAGACAGUCGCCGCUUCGUCGUCGUCCACCUUCGGGUGGAGACGGGCGGAGGGGAGGAAAGUCCGGGCUCCAUAGGGCAGGGUGCGAGGUAAACGCCUGGGGGAAACCACGACCAGUGCAACAGAGAGCAAACCGCCGAUGGCCCACGCAAGUGAUCAGGUAAGUGAAAGAAUUGCAGUAAGAGCGCACCGCGCGGCUGGUAACAGUCCGUGGCACGGUAAACUCCCACCCGGAGCAAGGCCAAAUAGGGGUUCAUGGUACGGCCUGUACUGAACCCGGGUAGGCUGCUUGAGCCAGUGAGCGAUUGCUGGCCUAGAUGAAUGACUGUCCACGACAGAACCCGGCUUAUCGGUCAGCUUCAAUU
rnacentral:RNase_P_RNA from 1 species